rnacentral:rRNA from 1 species
UCGGGAAUUUUGGGCAAUGGGCGAAAGCCUGACCCAGCAACGCCGCGUGAGGGAUGAAGUAUUUCGGUAUGUAAACCUCGAAAGAAUGGGAAGAGUAAAUGACGGUACCAUUUAUAAGCUCCGGCUAACUACGUGCCAGCAGCCGCGGUAAUACGUAGGGAGCAAGCGUUGUUCGGAUUUACUGGGCGUAAAGGGCGCGUAGGCGGCGCGGUAAGUCACUUGUGAAAUCUCUGAGCUUAACUCAGAACGGCCAAGUGAUACUGCUGUGCUAGAGUGCGGAAGAGGCAACCGGAAUUCUUGGUGUAGCGGUGAAAUGCGUAGAUAUCAAGAGGAACACCUGAGGCGAAGGCGGGUUGCUGGACCGACACUGACGCUGAUGCGCGAAAGCCAGGGGAGCAAACG